AUUCUGUCGAUAAAUGAGAUACAAACACUGUAGAAAUUCAAAAUGAUUGGUUUCUGGACAUUACUUUUGAUCUUCAGCACUAUGUAUACAGUCCAUCCUGGUAGACACUGGGUUACUGCACAAACCCCCACAGAUCCACCAGUUUAUCAGCCUGAUGAAAACGUCAGCGUGAACAUCGGAGAUUCAGCGACUCUACAGUGUUGUGUUUCUGAAAAACUCAAAAUGAUGGCUUGGUUUAAGCAAGCAACAAGAAAAAAACCACGGAUUAUCUUUAAGUUCUUUGCAAGUGCUGGAGAAACAUUUUACAAUGGAUUCCAAGAGUCUCGUUUCCGACUAGAAAGAUCUUCAAACUGCUCCAAUAUGACAAUUUUAAACACCACUCAGUCUGACGACGCCAUGUACUACUGUGCAAUGAUUACACCAAGCAUUGUGUUUGGAGAUGGAACUUAUUUACAAAUUAAAGGUGAUCAUGUUACUAUUGCAUCAGAAACAUCUAAAGCAGCUCUGUGUGAUAUUUCAGUGGUGCGUGAACCAACACCGCAUGGAAACAACACUAACUCUAACACACAACACAACACAGGUGAGAUGUCAGUGUUUUGUACUAAUCUAAAUAUAAUGUGGUGAAAUAACAGAAUCAGAAAUGAUCAGAUCUCUACAUCGGACAGUGAUCGGUUUGGGAUCGGCUUUGGGUUUGUGCGCACUUCAGAUUUUCUGUCUCACUUAUUUCAUACUGAGGAGAAGAAAAGGUGAUAAAAUGAAGACUUCUAGUGAAGAUUCUUCAGGAAUGAAGCAGAUUCAGGAAUCUGAAGCAAAAACUGUGAUUUACACAGAUGUACAGUUCAACAAGAUGAAAGCAAAAGCUGAAAAAAGAAAACCGGACUUAGCCGAGGAUUGUGUUUACUCUAGUGUGAAAUAAACCUUUUUUCUGUGUUAAUGAUCACAUGUUAAAUCACUUGUGUGGUUAAUUUCUGCUUAACAAAUUAACAAUGAUUAUAAGAUUGGACCUGGA